GGGGAAUCUUGCGCAAUGGGCGAAAGCCUGACGCAGCAACGCCGCGUGCGGGAAGAAGGCCUUCGGGUUGUAAACCGCUUUCAGAAGGAACGAAACUGACGGUACUUUCAGAAGAAGGUGCGGCCAACUACGUGCCAGCAGCCGCGGUGACACGUAGGCACCAAGCGUUGUCCGGAUUUAUUGGGCGUAAAGAGCUCGUAGGCGGUUCGGUAAGUCGGGUGUGAAAACUUUGGGCUCAACCCAAAGCGUGCACUCGAUACUGCCGUGACUAGAGUUCGGUAGGGGAGUGGGGAAUUCCUAGUGUAGCGGUGAAAUGCGCAGAUAUUAGGAGGAACACCGGUGGCGAAGGCGCCACUCUGGGCCGAAACUGACGCUGAGGAGCGAAAGCGUGGGUAGCAAAC
rnacentral:rRNA from 1 species